rnacentral:rRNA from 1 species
UACGGGGGGGGCAAGCGUUGUUCGGAAUUACUGGGCGUAAAGGGCUCGUAGGCGGCCAACUAAGUCAGACGUGAAAUCCCUCGGCUUAACCGGGGAACUGCGUCUGAUACUGGAUGGCUUGAGUGUGGGAGAGGGAUGCGGAAUUCCAGGUGUAGCGGUGAAAUGCGCAGAUAUCAGGAAGAACACCUAUGGCGAAGGCAGCUCUCUGGGACGGUACUGACGCUGAGACGCGAAAGCGUGGGGAGCGAACAGG